CGACUGUAAGCAAACAAAGAGAUGUCUGUUUGACAAUGCGUGUUUUCAACGGUGUAAAUGGACUUAAAAUAUGAACGAAAAGAUUAAUGACCACGACUAUGCUGUCCAGUUUUACACAGCAACACCAGUAUUCGACUCAAAACCGGAUGGAAAACAGAUUCAAGACAUUACUGUAUCACUCGAGAAGAAGUUGAAGUAUAACAGGAUCUGCUGUGUGCCCAAAUGUCACACCACUGGCUAAGGAUUGUUAGAAGGCCAUGGAAAGCCCAGCUAUCAUGCAUUUCCAGCUGAAGAUGAUCCAGUUCAAGCUGUUUGGUUGAAUAAAAUACGAAGAGAUGAAGACAGACAUUUUAAGAUAAGUCACAAUACGGUUGUCUGUUUUCUCCAUUUUGAACGUGACUGUCUUGAUGAAUCUGGAUUUGCUAAGCGGAGGUAUCUAAAACCAGGAGCCAUCCCUACACUAUUCGACUGCUGGAAGGACAAACCACAUCUGUUGAAGCGAAUUCAAGUGGAACGUGCAAUUAACAAGAUUAAAAGUUUUCACAUAUUUGAUCAGGUCAUUCUGGUUUCUCUGUUUGGGAUAAUUAAUCAAAUUUGGACAGUUUGCUCAUUGCUCACUCUUUUCCAAGACCCAAUUAUACCAUGUCCUGGUGUUUAACAUACAUACCAUUUAUAUGAACAUUUGUUGUUCAUGUACAUCAUACUACAUGUAGGCUAAUGUAAAACCAUUGGCUGUUCAUGUAAUAUUUGUACAUUUUUUGGCUUUGUAUAAAGUUUUUGAUAAUUAUCUUGAUAUAAGCAUUGAUUUAGUUACAGAUUAAUGCUUAAAGAGUACUUAAAGCUACACACCUUGAAAUAAAGUACAUGUUCAUAUAGAUGCAAUUUGAAAGUGUGCAAAAUUUUCAUUAAAUCUACAGUCUAGUUAGCAAGU